rnacentral:rRNA from 1 species
UGCAGAAUCCCGUGAACCAUCGAGUCUUUGAACGCAAGUUGCGCCCCAAGCCAUUAGGCUGAGGGCACGUCUGCUUGGGUGUCA